rnacentral:rRNA from 1 species
AGAGCAACGUGGUCAAACAGGAGUGUCCAGGACCUCGGUAGGAUACGUCAGCGUUGCAUCCGGAUCCAGCACACAUGUCGGCACUCAAAUGCUGGGCGGACGGUCGCUUCAUUACGUCUGAAGUGUGCAAGCUCGCGGGCUCUAACUCUGGAGGGGUGAGUGGAUAACUGCGGAGACCUGCAGGGCCUGAAGAGGCAGAAUAGAACUCUCACAGCGUAAGCAGUGAUCGUCGAAGAGAUUGGACUGGCACACUAUCUGAGAACGGCUACCAUCUCGACCCUUUACGCGCCUCUGAGGCGCGAAAGCGACGGAAUCGAAACAGGAUGUAGAUGGCUUUGCUGUCAACCCUGUAAGCGUUGAGUGCUAAGACUUGGGGGGGCUUCCGCCCCUUAGUGCUGCAAGUAUUGCAUUAAGCACUCCGCCCUUGGGAGGACGGGCCGCAGGACUUAAACUCAAAGGUAAAGAAAGGGGCCCGGCACAAGCGGUGGAGCAAUUAUUUUUAAUUCGAAGCAACCCCGAAGAACCUUACCAGGUCUUGACAUCCCGUUUUCCCCCUGUAGAUAUAAGGUUUUGCCCCUCGGGGGCAACGGCGACAGGUGGUGCAUGGUUUUCGUCAGCUCGUGUCGUGAGAGGUUGGGUUAAGCCCCCCCAACGAGCGCAACCCUUGAUCUUAGUGGCCAUCAUUUAGUUGGGCACUCUAAGGUGACUGCCUGCGACAAGCCUGAGGAAGGUGUGGAAGUCGUCAAAUCAUCAUGCCCCUUAUGACCUGGGCUACACACGUUCUCCAAUGGGCGAUACAAACGGUUCCCAACUCGCGAGAGGGAGCUAAUCCGAUAAAGUCGUUCUCAGUUCGGAUUGUAGGCUGCAACUCCCCUACAUGAAGCCGGAAUCGCUAGUAAUCGCGGAUCAGCAUGCCGCGGUGAAUACGUUUCCGGGCCUUGUACACACCGCCCGUCACACCACGAGAGUUUGUAACACCCGAACGUCGUAUGUAGGUAAUACUGGGAUACAGUAGUGCGACUCGGUUUUAAC